rnacentral:rRNA from 1 species
UACGAAGGGUGCAAGCGUUACUCGGAAUUACUGGGCGUAAAGCGUGCGUAGGCGGUUUGUUAAGUCCGUUGUGAAAGCCCUGGGCUCAACCUGGGAAUUGCAGUGGAUACUGGCGAGCUAGAGUGCGGUAGGAGGAGUGGUGGAAUUCCCGGUGUAGCGGUGAAAUGCGUAGAGAUCGGGAGGAACACCCGUGGCGAAGGCGGCCAUCUGGACCAGCACUGACGCUGAGGCACGAAAGCGUGGGGAGCAAACAGGG